CAAAUUAUUGUUCUAUUUGAAGAAGAGAGUUUCCCAUCUCUUACUCGGGUACCUUCUCCAAGUUAUAAGGAACCAGAUGGAAGCCAUUGAAUUGUUAGUCUACCUUCCUCCAUUGGAGUCUGAGGCAUAGAUGGACCGAAAGGGGAAUCAUCUAGCUUUAGAUGGGGGAGGAGAGCACGACUUGUGCUAGAACUUCUUCAAGAAAUUUGACAAAUUUACGCUUCUCAACCUUACUCAUGGCUCUCGCGUCUUGAUGUUUCAAGAGUUUCUCGUGGAGGGUACGUAAGGCUAUCCCCAACUGAAUCUUUGACUGGGGGAGAGAUGAUUCCGUCAGGGAAUUUAAUGUAAAAAUUCGAAAAACAAACAGAUAACAUUAUUAUUAGAGGAAACGUUUCAAAUAAAAUAUUUAAAAUGAUAUAUUUUGUGAAAUAUUAAUUUAGAACGUUCAAUUAUUUUAAAUUAAAUGAAACACAUCUUAAGGUAGAUCAUAUCUCCAGGUUGUAUAUCUCAAUUUACUCCAAAUAAAUAUGUUAGAUUAAUAUCUCAUUUGAAGUUUACCCAAUUAAUAGAUGAGAGGUCGGAGAUCGAACGACAGGAUGAAAUUAGUGGAAUGUUUUAGAGAUUAAUUUUAUACCAUUUAAAUGAAAUAAAAGAGUACUUAUAGUAUUACAAUAUUUGUAAUUAAUUAAUUAAUUCUAAAGGAUUUUUAAUAUAAAAAUUCUAAUUGGAGAAGCGGUCUUCCGCUUCUCUCUCCGGCUCGGACCCGGUUCAUCACCGUUGGGUGAUUUUUGUUUACCGUGGUCUUCCCCCAAUUAAGUUAGGAUUUAGUUCGUCUUCUUCAACAACAACUCUUCUAAUCGUCGUGCUAUCUUCCUGGAUAGUGGAGCAGUCUAUCAGCAUCAUAUCAUCGUCGGCUUCUUCAGAUUCGGCAUUGUCUUCAAUGUUGAUAGGAGGGAAAAGACGCAACACAUCUUCAUGAAAUUCCCAAGACGAGUCCUCCGGUAUCGCUCCAUUCCAAGCGACCAGCCAUUGAUUUCUCUGUCUCGAUCUCACCCUGAAAAAUGGUACGCUUAUUAGAAUAAAUAACUUCUACUGUUUUUUUAGUUGAGUUUAAUAUUCUCAAAUACAAGUUUAUACAAUGAGUUAGCUGUUAGAGGUUAAUUAGUUUUAGAUACUCUUUCUUAUAAAUACUUUUGUAAGACUGCAUUCUUGGUUAAUGAAUUGAGUUCUUUCUUUUGAGAUUAUUGUUGAAUUGAACUUGAAACAAGCACCAAAAUCUUGGUACUCAAGACUGAGUGCAUUCCUAAUAUUAAAUGAAUUCUCUAACAGUCUGGCAGAUACAUUAUUGUUUCAAAAAAAAGAUAAUUUUUUAAUUUGAGUAAUUGUGUAUAUAUAUAGAUGACAUUAUAAUUUCAAGAAACAACAACAUUGAAAUUGAAGUUUUUAUUAAAAAUCUUUGUACUGCAUGAAUUUAGAUGUAGAGACCUAGGACUUUUGAAAUAUUUCUUUAGUAUAGAAAUUAGAUACAAUUUUGAUGGGUCACUUAACAUGACUCAAUCUAGAUAUGCAUUGAAUAUUUUAAGUAAAAACAACAUGCUAAAUUGUAAACUCAUAAGAACAUCAAUAUUGCAAAUUCCAAAUUGUCCAAAGAAAAUGGAGAAUUGUUAUAAGAUAUAGCAGCUUAUAGAGCCUUAGUUGGAUCCUUACAGUACAUACUUGGCACAAACAAGGCCCUGAUUUUAUUUAUGCAAUAAAUCAAGUGACUCAAUUUGUACAAGCUCCUAGAACUACUCACCUAGUAGCGGCCAAGAGAAUACUAAUGUAUAUAAAAUGAAUUUUAGAUCAUGGUCUUCAUUUUACCAAUACCAAAAGAACUGCCAUAAAUUGAUAGGUUUUUGUGAUGCUGAUCGAUUUUGCUGGUGAUCCAGACACCAGAAAAUCAACAACAGGCUAUUGUGUAUAUAUCGGAGGAAAUCUAGUGACAUGGUCAUCAAAGAAAUAGACAAUUAUUUCAAGAUCCAGUGCUAAGGCUCAAUAUAGAGCCUUAGCAAGUCAUACAACUGAAAUUAGAUGGACUCACUUCAUAUGUAAGGACCUUCUAUAUAAUUUACAUCAGAUACCUUUGUUAUAUACAGAUAACAGUUCAGCCAUUUUUAUGGCUAGAAACUGUUAAGUUUUGAUAUGUGUAUGAAAUAUAAUCCAAGUAUGGUUUAAUGAUUAAUCCAGAGUAAAGUAAAAUAGUGUUGAUGCAACGGAUAAUAUUGAUUGUUUAAUUUAUCUAAUGAGUAUGAUCAAGAUGUGUUGCAGGUAGAUAAUGUUUGACAGGGAUGAUAUAUAUAUGAUUUGUCCAAGUAGAUGCGGAGAUAUGUGUAUGCAUGCAAUAGAUAUCAGGUAUGAUAUAUAUAUGAAAUGUAAGCAGAUGAUUUAGCAAUACUGAGAUCGUUUGGAGAGCAAGGAGAUGACGAUGUAGGAGAGUCGAUGACUGAGUGUAGAGCAGAUCGGAGUGAAGCUGAUGAUGACUUUGAUCCACAGAUGAUGAUUAAUCCCAAAGGGAGUAUGAUUUUGAAACUUAGUAUCACAAACUGUAAAACAAUGUUAGGUUUGAGUUUGAUAUAUAUAGAUGGUUUAAAUGUUUGAUUCCAGCUUACAACGGUCAUAAGCUCAAGGUUCAACUGGCGCUUGUUGUCACUGUUGCUGAAGGCAAAGGUGACAUUAAGUGAUGGUUGGAGCUUCCUAGGAUUUUUACCAUAUUAAAGGUUUAGGUAUUAAAUUGAUCAUGUAAGGGUUUAAAUUAUAAAUUGGUUAAUGAGGGUUCAUAUUGUAAAUGUUGUAAAUGGAUUUAUGUAAUAAUUUUAUACGCCCCCUCAAAAGCGAGUUGGGCUGAAAAGAAACGAACUUUUGGACUGGUCCAUGUUCCAAUCUUUAAAUAUAAAAAGGGUUUUGUAAAUUUGAUUUUGGUUGUAAACACGAAUCGUCUUGUAGGGUUUCAGAGGGAAAUGAGGGUUUCACUGGAGGCAAGGGUUUGCUGGAGGCAAUCGUUCGGGUAUGUUUCUAGUCUUCUUCUUUUGUGCAUGUCGCUCUAUUCCUCUUGUUUAUGUUGUCUUUGGUUGGGUAUCCUUAUUCAUUUGUAUUCUUAAUGGGUUUUGUAGUGGGUGUUCUGUCUGUUAAUGUGUUUGCAUGUCAGUGUUUUCUUUCUUGGUGUUUGUUUUCCUUCAUCCAUUGUGUUUGUUUUCCUCUAUCAGUCUGUUCCGUGUAAGUUUUCCAUUUUCAGUUUCUUUUUGAGAUGAUUGAAUAGAUAUCCUGUAACAUCUUUUGUGAAGAUGUCUUCCACGUUUUCUUUGGUGUUUACCCUUUCUAUUUCAAUCUCUUUUUGUAAAGCUUUGUCUCUGAUCGUGUGUGUAUCGAUUUCUAUGUGUUUUGUUCUUAAUUUGAUGUAAGACUGGGUUUGUUGCAAUUGCAGUUGCAGAGGAACUAUUAAUUUGUAUAGAGUUUUGGAGUUACUAUAUUUACUUGCAUUUCCUUUAAUAGUUGUUUUAGCCAUGUGAUUUCACAAGUUGUGUGUGCUAAGGGUCGGUACUCUGCCUCUGCUGACGAUCUUGUUACUGUAUGUUGUUUUUUGGUUUGCCAUGAAACUAGGUUAUCAUUCAAGAAGAUGGCAAAUCCUGAUGUGGAUCGUCUGGUUGUGGGGAAAGAGGCCCAGUCAGAGUCUGAAAAUACUUUAAUCCUUGCGGUUCUUGUGCCUGAUGAGAAGAAAAGUCCACUUCCUGGUGAGUUUUUAAUGUAUCUUAAUAUUUUGUUCACCUUAGUAGAGUCUUCAUUUGUUGGUUCUGACAUGUGUUGGCUUAGUUGGUUUACUACAUAUGUUAUAUCGGGUUUGGUUACAGUUAGGUAGACAAGUUUUCCAACUAUGCAUCUGUACUCAGUAGGAUCAUCAAGUAAUUUAAUUUCCUUGUUCUGUUUGUUUGACGAUCUUGAUGGUGUAUAGAGUGGGUAUUCUCCUGGUUUAGCAUGUAGAUAGUUGUUUUGUUCAAGGAUUUCUAAUGCAUAUUUUCUUUGGCUUAUAAAAAUCCCAUGUUGUGUUGUUGUGAAUUCUAAUCCUAAGAAUUUUUUUAAUGUUCCUAGAUCUUUGAUGUUAAAAAAACUGGUUAAAUCUGUCUUAAGUUUGAUUAUUUCUUUUAAGUUAUUUCCUGUGAUUAAUAGAUCAUCUACAUAUGGUAGGAUGAAAAUUUUAUUUUUCCCAUUGAUCUUACCGAAGAGAGCAUAAUCCUCUCUUGUCUGUUUAAAACCUAAUUUGUUUAGUACUUGUUGUAGUUUGUUAAACCACAUUCUAGAUAUUUGUUUUAAGCUAUAUAGAGGUUUUGUUAAUUUGCAUGCUAGUUUGUGGUUGUCUGUUGGUUCUUUGUUGAUCCUUAGACCUUGGUGAGACAUGCCUGAUUACGACAGUCACUCCCAGCAACGCCUUUCAAUAAGGACUAGGGUUCCGUCACUUUACCCCCGGAAGGCUCCCACGGUGCGGAACAAGUUCAUCGUCAAAUCGCGAGUUAACCCGUAAAUCGCGAUUGGACUACCAAAUCGCCGAUUUUAUGGACAAAUCGUUGAGUUAGGGCCCAGAUCGGCAGUAUGGUAGACUGCAUAUCUCGCCCCUUGAAACUCGACGAGUUUACCCUAAUAGGCGAUUUUCAUACCUGAAUCGUCGAUUUACGACCGUUACUCGCCGCCAGCCAACGCCAUAAAUGAACCCAUAUAUGGCAAUAGGCCUCGAUAUCCUCCUUUGAUCGCGCCCUCCGAGACCCUAUAAAAAGGGUCCCAAGGGGACACUCAAAGGCACAACACAAGUUCCACUCUCACCAGAGCACCACUAAGAGAAUCGCCGAUUUCCACACCAGAAUCGCCGAUUCUCUCCUUUCAGGUAUUUGACGUAGAGCGCGCGUCGUGGACUCCAGAGCCUCCGGCAUCACCUCGCACUACCGCGAGCCUUGGUAGCAGAUUCAGUGCUUCAUCAGAAGGCAUUUUGAACAUCCAUCUGAUGGAGGUGCCAUCCUUGGUGAGACAUGCCUGAUUACGGCAGUCACUCCCAGCAACGCCUUUCAACAAGGACUAGGGUUCCGUCGCUUUGGCCGGACCCCCGGAGAGCUCCCACGGUGCGGAACACGUUAAUCGUCCAGAUCGCCGAGUUAGCCCGUAAGUCGCCCGAUUGGACUACCAAGUCUCCGACAUAAAGGAUAAGUCGCCGAUUUAAGGGCAAGAUCGGCAGUAUGGUAGACUGCACAUCUUGCCACUGGAAACUCGGCGAGUUAGCCCUAACUAGGCGACUUCCAUACCUGAAUCGCCGACUUACGAAAGUUACUCGCCACCAGCCAACGUCAAAAAUGUUACCAUAUAUGACCAAAGGCGCGAUGUCCGCCUUUGAUUGCGCCCUCCAAGACCCUAUAAAAAGGGUCCCAAGGGGACACUCAAAGGCAUGAUUCAAGUUCCUCUCUCACACCAGAGCAUCACUAAGAAACUCGUUGAUUCUCAUUAGAAUCGCCUAGUUUCUCCUUGCAGGUAUUUGACGUAGAGCGCGCGUCGUGGACUCCGGAGCCUCCGGCAUCACCUCGCACCACCGCGAGCCCUAGUAGCAGAUUCAGUGCUUCAUCAAAUGUUCUUCAGAAAAUCGAGAAUACAACUUGUACGUCACUGUUCUUUUAUUAUUUGGUUAUUUACAGUCUAUGGUUUUUAGUCCUUGAUAGAUAUUAGAUAUUUAAUAUUAUUUAUCUAAUAUAGGUUUUAUCUAUUUUUGUGGAUUUCUUUGUCGUUUUCUUUACAUGUCGAAUUUUAUUUAUUCUUGUUCUAUUAAUAGGUUAAUAAAUUCUUGUUCUAUUUGAAGAAGAGAGUUUCCCACCUCUUCCUCAGGUACGUACCUUCUCCAAGUUAUAACGGACCUGAUGGAGGUUAUUGAAUUCUUAAUCUACCCUCCUCCAUUAUAGUCUGGGGCAUAGAUGGGCAGGAAGGGGAAUCAUCUUUAGAUGGAGGUGAUCGCCACCACUAAGUCAGACUUUAUAACAUUCCGGUGAUGGAUAUACACUUCCGAUGUUAUAAAAUCAUAUUUAAAAAUCCAACCUUGUCUCUGAUACCAAAUGAUAGAAAUUAUCAUACUUUAUGAUCUAAGAUUUUUAUAUCAACAACCCAAUGAUCCAAGCCUGGAUUAACUUGAUAUCUUCCUAAGAGUCCAACCACAAAUGCAAUAUCUGGUCUAGUGCAUACCUGAGCAUACAUUAGACUUCCAUAAGGAAAUGCUUUCAUUUCAUUCUUCUGUAAGUCUGUUAGAGGACAUUGAGCUAAAUUCAAUUUAUCACAUUUUACAAUUGAAGCAACACUUGACUUACAUUCUGAGAGAUUAAACCUUUGUAAUAUACGAUCGAUGUAAGCUGAUUGAGAAAGACCUAACAAAUGUCUAGAUCGAUUUCUGUUGAUCUCAAUACCAAGAACAAAAGAUGCUUCACCCAAAUCUUUCAUAUCAAAUUCACUUGAUAAGAAUUUCUUUGUUUCAAAUAAUAUACUUAAAUCGUUGCAAGCAAGUAAUAUAUCAUCAACGUAUAGAACAAGCAAAACAUAUUUGCUCCCUCUGACCUUGUGAUAUAUACAUGGAUCCAUGAGAUUUUCCGAAAAACCAUAUGAAGAAAUGAUUUCAUGGAAUUUAAUAUGUCAUUGUCUUGAUGCUUGUUUAAGUCCAUAUAUAGACUUUUUAAGUCUACAAACAAGCUUGUCAUUUUCUUCAAAACCUUGUGGUUGCGUCAUAUAUAUUUCUUCAUUGAGAUUCCCAUUAAGAAAAGCGGUUUUAACAUCCAUUUGAUGUAGUUCUAGAUUGUAGUGAGCCACUAAAGCCAUAAUGAUUCUAAAAGAAUUCUUCGAGGAAACUGGUGAAAAUGUUUCAUGAUAUUCAAUUCUCUCUCUUUGAGUGAAUCCUUUGGCAACCAAUCUAGCCUUAAACCGCUAAAUCUUUCCUCUGGAAUCUCAUUUGGUUUUAAAAGCCCAUUUGCAACUCACAACUUUAACACCCUCAGGUAACUGAAUAAGUUCUCAUUCUUUAUUAUGGUACAUAGACUGCAUCUCAUCUUUCAUUUCAUCUUGCCACAAAUUAAUCACAUUGUGCACUUGCAACCGCUUGAUCAUAUGAGAUAGGGUCAACUGUACUACUACAACCAAUGUCAUAGUCGUAUUCUCCUAAAUAAACUUCAUAAUCAUUAGGGAUAGCUGAUCUUCUUUCUCGAGUAGUCCUCCUUGGUUCAAUAACUAGUGGAUCUACUGGUGUAAUAAUUGGUUCAUCAACUUGAGCAAUAACUGGUGUGUCAACGGAUGUCACUGAAGAUGUGGUUGGUUUAAUCGAAAAUAAGGGUAUAACUACUGUUAAUGGUUGAUGGUCCAAUGAAUUAGAAACCUCUGAAGUAUUAACAUCUGCUACAUCAUUUUCUAAGAAUUUUGCUGUUCGAGAAUCUACAAUUAUUGUUCCACCAUGAGGUCUAUAAAAUCGAUAUACCUUAUAAUGAUUCGGAUAUCCCACAAAAUAGCAUGUCACUGUUCUUGAAUCUAACUUGUUUAAUGUUGGAUUGUAUAAUUUCACCCCUACAGGAUAACCCCAAAUCUUCAAAUGAUUUAAACUAGGUUUUCUACCUGUCCAAAGUUCAAAAGGUGUAACUGGUACUGACUUACUUGGGACUCGAUCAAAAUAUACAAUGCUGCUUGUAUUGCUUCACCCCACAAGAAUGUUGUUAAAUUUGCUCUACUAGUCAUGCUUCUCACCAUAUCCAUUAGGGUACGAUUUCUUCUUUCUGCCGCUCCAUUCUGCUCAGGAGUUCCUGACAUAGUGUAUUGCCCAAUUAUUCCAGAUUCUUCCAAAUAUUAUGCAAAAGGACCUUUAAGUUGUCCAACAUCUCCAUGUUUACCGUAAUAUUCUACACCUCUAUCUAUCUGAUCUAACAAUCUUUAUAGAUUUUUCCAAUUGUUUCUCAACUUCUGUUUUGAAUACUUUAAAUUUCUCUAAAGAUUCAUAUUUUUCUUUGAUAAGAAACAAAUAGCCAUAUUUAGAAAAAUCAUCUAUAAAUGUUAUAAAAUAUAAGCAUCCACACAGAGUUUUAUGAUAUGGUCCACUAAUAUCCGUAUAAAUAAUCUCCAAAAGACUAGUGUUACGAGUAGCAGUCUUUUUGCCUUUCUUGGUCAUUUUCCUCUUAAGACAAUCAAUACAUUCUGCAUUGUCAUUAUCUAAAGAAGGAAGAAUGGUCGAUUUAACCAAUCUUUUAAUUCUAUCUUGUGAAAUAUGAUCUAACCUUUUAUGCCAUAACGUAUAUGAUUUUUCUUUAUUUAAGGGUCUUUUGGAAACUGUAUUUUCCACAUUACAAGCUAUAUAGAACUUCAUAGAAUCAAGACAUAAUCUGUAUAGGUCAUAAGACAAAACACAAUUACCCAUAAUCUUUGAGUUAUGAAACAUUGAAACUGUAUUGUUCUUAAAUUCAAAAGAAAAACCAUGUUUUCUUAAUUUACUAACAGAAAUUAGAUUCCGUCUAAACGACGGAGCAUACAAAGUGUCUUUCAAUGUUAAACCAAAUCCUGAAUCUAGAUUUAAAAUAACAUCGCCCACAAAUUCUAAAUCAGUUUGUCCAUCAUUUCCUACUAACAAUCUUGAUUCAUCCUGAUUUGGCUUCCUUCUAUUUGUGAAUCCCUGUAUGGUGAAUGCAACAUGAUUAGUUGCUCCACUAUCCAACAACCAAGAACUAGAUGAAGAUUCUAUUAAAUUAGAUUCAUAAACUAAUGUCAAAGAAUCAAUACCUUUUUGUUCCUGUUUUAUGAGCCAAGAUUUAAACUUUAAGCAAUUCUACUUUAUGUGUCCCGGUUUCAUACAGAAGAAACAUCCAUUGAUUGCUUUCUUGAGGGAGUUCUUGUUAGAACCAAAUUUGUCAGAUAAGUUGGUAUCCUUAGAAUCUUUAUUUUUCACAAACAUUUUGAACUUAAAUCCUUUCUUAUUUGAACUAUACAUUGUUAUCGAAGAUUUUUCGCCUUUUAUUUUAUCUCCUAUGUCUCCAAAUAAUUAUUUCUUUUAAUUCGAGCCCAGCUCGCGGGUUCGAGCCCGGGCCCAAACCUAACAAUUCUUAAAACGAGCCGAGCCCGAGCCUGGCUCUAUAAGCAAAAGCUCAACUUGUUUGACACCCUAAUCUCUGAUAAAUAUUCCGAGAAUAUUUUGCCACUUAUCUUCAAAUUCUGAAGUUUUUUGGCGUAGACUCAUCACAUACGAUCGAGAAUUAGAUGCAAAUUGCAUUUGAAGUGUUUCCCAUACCUCAUGUGCCGUAGCACAAUCAGAGACUUCCGACAGUACCGAGGGUGAAAUUGAUGAAAAUAGCCAUCCUAAAAUCAAUUGAUCUUGCUUGAUGGCAAGAGAGUUGUCCAAUUUUUCCCUACCGGCCAGAUAGUCCAUCAGCUCAUGACCUCGGAUAUUAGCCCCAAAUUGGGCUCUCCACGCGAAGUAAUUGCUGCGGUCUAGGGCUACAGUCUUGAAGUUCUUGGCGGUCACCUUUCCUGGUGCGUCGUUGCCAUAGAGCUUCUUUGCAGCCAGCGAAAUCCCUUUGUCAGCUUCGUCAAUCGACAUUGCGUAUCGGAAAAAAAUUGUGAUCGUCAACGAUCUUGGAGCGAUUCCGAUGAUCAGAGAUGUGCGGCUUCCCAAGAUCAGCUAGGCGAAAGGUACCAUAACAGUGAAUUGAAAUAUAUGAAUGGGGAAAGCCAAACUCGAUCCCUUUCAUAUUCAAUAGAAAGAUCUAUUUAUACAAUUUGUUACUCUAAUAUCCUAUUUGUUUGUUCUUUUGUAUUAUCGAUAUUUAUUGUCUAUUUUUUAUAAUGUUCUUGUCUAUUUUUAUAUUUACAGUCUAUGGUUUUUAGUCCUUGAUACUUGAUAGAUAUUUGAUAUCUAUUAUAUAUUUUAUCUAUUUUUAUGGUUUCUUUGUCGUUUUCUUUAUUCAUUUUUAUUCAUUCUUGUUCUAUUAAUAGGUUACCAAAUUCUUGUUCUAUUUGAAGAAGAGAGUUUCCCAUCUCUUACUCGGGUACCUUCUCCAAGUUAUAAGGAACCAGAUGGAGGCCAUUGAAUUGUUAGUCUACCUUCCUCCAUUGGAGUCUGAGGCAUAGAUGGACCGAAAGGAGAAUCAUCUAGCUUUAGAUGGUGGAGGAGAGCACGACUUGUGCUAGAACUUGUUCAAGAAAUUUGACAAAUUUACGCUUCUCAACCUUACUCAUGGCUCUCGCGUCUUGAUGUUUCAAGAGUUGUUCGUGGAGGGUACGUAAGGCUAUCCCCAAUUGAAUCUUUGACUGGGGGAGAGAUGAUUCCGUCAGGGAAUUUAAUGUAAAAAUUCGAAAAACAAACAGAUAACAUUAUUAUUAGAGGAAAUGUUUCAAAUAAAAUAUUUAAAAUGAUAUAUUUUGUGAAAUAUUAAUUUAGAACGUUCAUUUAUUUUAAAUUAAAUGAAACACAUAUUAAGGUAGAUCAUAUCUCGAGGUUGUAUAUCUCAAUUUACUCCAAAUAAAUAUGUUAGAUUAAUAUCUCAUUUGAAGUUUACCCUAUUAAUAGAUGAGAGAUCGGAGAUCGAACGACAGGAUGGAAUUAGUGGAAUGUUUUAGAGAUUAAUUUUAUACCAUUUAAAUGAAAUAAAAGAGUACUUAUACUAUUACAAUAUUUGUAAUUAAUUAAUUCUAAAGGAUUUUUAAUAUAAAAAUUCUAAUUGAAGCAGCGGUCUUCCGCUUCUCUCUCCGGCUCGGACCCGGUUCAUCACCGUUGGGUGAUUUUUUUUUACCGUGGUCUUCCCCCAAUUAAGUUAGGAUUUAGGUCGUCUUCUUCAACAACAACUCUUCUAAUCGUCAUGCUAUCUUCCUGGAUAGUGGAGCAGUCUAUCAGCAUCAUAUCAUCGUCGGCUUCUUCAGAUUCGGCAUUGUCUUCAAUGUUGAUAGGAGGGAAAAGACGCAACACAUCUUCAUGAAAUUCCCAAGACGAGUCCUCCGGUAUCGCUCCAUUCCAAGCGACCAGCCAUUGAUUUCUCUGUCUCGAUCUCACCCUGAAAAAUGGUACGUUUAUUAGAAUAAAUAACUUCUACUGUUUUGUUAGUUGAGUUUAAUAUUCUCAAAUACAAGUUUAUACAAUGAGUUAGUUGUUAGAGGUUAAUUAGUUUUAGAUACUCUUUCUUAUAAAUACUUUUGUAAGACUGUAUUCUUGGUUAAUGAAUUGAGUUCUUUCUUUUGAGAUUAUUGUUGAAUUGAGCUUGAAACAAGCACCAAAAUCUUGGUACUCAAGACUGAGUGCAUUCCUAAUAUUAAAUGAAUUCUCUAACAGUCUGGCAGAUACAUUAUUGUUUCAAAAAAAAGAUAAUAUUUUAAUUUGAGUAAUUGUGUAUAUAUAUAGAUGACAUUAUAAUUUCAAGAAACAACAACAUUGAAAUUGAAGUUUUUAUUAAAAAUCUUUGUACUGCAUGAAUUUAGAUGUAGAGACCUAGGACUUUUGAAAUAUUUCUUUAGUAUAGAAAUUAGAUACAAUUUUGAUGGGUCACUUAACAUGACUCAAUCUAGAUAUGCAUUGCUUAUUUUAAGUAAAAACAACAUGCUAAAUUGUAAACUCAUAAGAACAUUAAUAUUGCCAAAUUCCAAAUUGUCCAAAGAAAAUGGAGAAUUGUCCAAAGAAAUUAAGAUGACACCAGAAAAUCAACAACAAGCUAUUGUGUAUAUAUCGGAGGAAAUCUAGUGACAUGGUCAUCAAAGAAAUAGACAACUAUUUCAAGAUCCAGUGCUGAGGCUCAAUAUAUAGCCUUAGCAAGUCAUACAACUGAAAUUAGAUGGACUCACUUCAUAUGUAAGGACCUUCUACAUAAUUUACAUCAGAAACCUUUGUUAUAUACAGAUAACAGUUCAGCCAUUUUUAUGGCUAGAAACUGUUAAGUUUUGAUAGGUGUAUGAAAUAUAAUCCAAGUAUGGUUUAAUGAUUAAUCCAGAGUAAAGCAAAAUAGUGUUGAUACAGCGGAUAGUAUUGAUUGUUUAAUUUAUCUAAUGAGUAUGAUCAAGAUGUGUUGCAGGUAGAUAAUGUUUGACAGGGAUGAUAUAUAUAUGAUUUGUCCAAGUAGAUGCGGAGAUAUGUGUAUGCAUGCAAUAGAUAUCAGGUAUGAUAUAUAUAUAUGCAGGUGAUUUAGCAAUACUGAGAUCGUUUGGAGAGCGAGGAGAUGACGAUGUAGGAGAGUCGAUGACUGAGUGUAGAGCAGAUCGGAGUGAAGCUGAUGAUGACUUUGAUCCACAGAUGAUGAUUAAUCCCAAAGGGAGUAUGAUUUUGAAACUUAGUAUCACAAACUGUAAAACAAUGUUAGGUUUGAAUUUGAUAUAUAUAGAUGGUUUAAAUGUUUGAUUCCAGCUUAUAACGGUCAUAAGCUCAAGGUUCAACUGGCGCUUGUUGUCAAUGUUGCUGAAGGCAAAGGUGGCAUCAAGUGAUGGUUGGACCUUCCUAGGAUUUCUAUCAUAUUGAAGGUUUAGGUAUUAAAUUGAUCAUGUAAGGGUUUAGAUUAUAAAUUGGUUAAUGAGGGUUCAUAUUGUAAAUGUUGUAAAUGGAUUUAUGUAAUAAUUUUAUACGCCCCCUCAAAAGCGAGUUGGGCUGAAAAGAAACGAACUUUUGGACUGGUCCAUGUUCCAAUCUUUAAAUAUAAAAAGGGUUUUGUAAAUUUGAUUUUGAUUAUAAACACGAAUCGUCCUGUAGGGUUUCAGCGGGAAAUGAGGGUUUCACUGGAAGCAAGGGUUUGCUGGAGGCAAUCGUUCGGGUAUGUUUCUAGUCUUCUUCUUUUGUGCAUGUCGCUCUAUUCCUCUUGUUUAUGUUGUCUUUGGUUGGGUAUCCUUAUUCAUUUGUAUUCUUAAUGGGUUUUGUAGUGGGUGUUCUGUCUGUUAAUGUGUUUGCAUGUCAGUGUUUUCUUUCUUGGUGUUUGUUUUCCUUCAUCCAUUGUGUUUGUUUUCCUCUAUCAGUCUGUUCUGUGUAAGUUUUCCAUUUUCAGUUUCUUUUUGAGAUGAUUGAAUAGAUAUCCUGUAACAUCUUUUGUGAAGAUGUCUUCCACGUUUUCUUUGGUGUUUACCCUUUCUAUUUCAAUCUCUUUUUGCAAAGCUUUGUCUCUGAUCGUGUGUGUAUCGAUUUCUAUGUGUUUUGUUCUUAAUUUGAUGUAAGACUGGGUUUGUUGCGAUUGCAGUUGCAGAGGAACUAUUAAUUUGUAUAGAGUUUUGGAGUUACUAUAUUUACUUGCAUUUCCUUUAAUAGUUGUUUUAGCCAUGUGAUUUCACAAGUUGUGUGUGCUAAGGGUCGGUACUCUGCCUCUGCUGACGAUCUUGUUACUGUAUGUUGUUUUUUGGUUUGCCAUGAAACUAGGUUAUCAUUCAAGAAGAUGGCAAAUCCUGAUGUGGAUCGUCUGGUUGUGGGGAAAGAGGCCCAGUCAGAGUCUGAAAAUACUUUAAUCCUUGCGGUUCUUGUGCCUGAUGAGAAGAAAAGUCCACUUGCUGGUGAGUUUUUAAUGUAUCUUAAUAUUUUGUUCAACUUAGUAGAGUCUUCAUUUGUUGGUUCUGACAUGUGUUGGCUUAGUUGGUUUACUACAUAUGUUAUAUCGGGUUUGGUUACAGUUAGGUAGACAAGUUUUCCAACUAUGCAUUUGUACUCAGUAGGAUCAUCAAGUAAUUUAAUUUCCUUGUUCUGUUUGUUUGACGAUCUUGAUGGUGUAUAGAGUGGGUAUUCUCCUGGUUUAGCAUGUAGAUAGUUGUUUUGUUCAAGGAUUUCUAAUGCAUAUUUUCUUUGGGUAAUAAAAAUCCCAUGUUGUGUUGUUGUGAAUUCUAAUCCUAAGAAUUUUUUUAAUGUUCCUAGAUCUUUGAUGUUAAAAAAACUGGUUAAAUCUGUCUUAAGUUUGAUUAUUUCUUUUAAGUUAUUUCCUGUGAUUAAUAGAUCAUCUACAUAUGGUAAGAUGAAAAUUUUAUUUUUCCCAUUGAUCUUACUGAAGAGUGCAUAAUCCUCUCUUGUCUGUUUAAAACCUAAUUUGUUUAGUACUUGUUGUAGUUUGUUAAACCACAUUCUAGAUGCCGAUCCAGAGGCUCAAUCGCCGACUCCCCAUGAGCCUAGUGGCAGUCUACCAGAACUGUCCACGAAGCCUAGAGUCAGCGAUUCACCCCUGAAGUCGGCGACUUGGUAGUCCCAGUCGGCGACUCCCAGGUGCUGCCUUGAGUACUUGACGUAGACACUCCUUCCAAAUUCGUGGAACUCUUCGAGGGUCCGGCAUAAGGCGACGGAACCCUAGUCCUUGUCGAAGGGCGUUGCUGGGAGUGGCUGACGUGAUCAGGCAUGUCUCACCAGUACUCCCCCCUGAAGAGAGCAUGGCAAAACACCUGUGUACCGCCAGUAUCCCCCCCAAGCAAGGUGAUCUGCAUCAAGGCGAGUAGCGACAAGAUGGGAUUGAGUCAUUGCGCUCACAGCGACACUAAUGGCUCCGCAUGGUCCAUGCACUAUCAGAUGGACUGAUUCACUAUCAGAAUCUAGUUCCAGGCCAAUGGAACUACAUGUUUAUAGUCCUACUCUGAUCAAGAGCGACUUUUGCUGUGUGGAUUCUGGCCGAAGCGACAAAAUGCAUGGAUUCACUAUUAGAAUCUGAUUCUGGCCGAAGCGACAGAAUGCGUGGAUUCACUAUUAGAAUCUGAUUCUGGCCGAAGCAACAGAAUGCGUGGAUUCGUUAUCCGAAUCGGGUUCUGGCCGAAGCGACAAAUCGCGUGGAUUCAUUAUUAGAAUAUGAUUCUGGCCGAAGCGCGAGAAUGCGUGGAUUCGUUAUCCGAAUCGGGUUCUGGCCGAAGCGACAAAUCGCGUGGAUUCAUUAUUAGAAUCUGAUUCUGGCCGAAGCCCGAGAAUCUAGUUCACUAUCAGAACUGAUGUUUAUAGUCUACCCUGAUCAAGAGCGACUUGGUGUCCGCAACGACGGUUACCCCAUAGGCCGAAGCGCAAGAUGGGUCGAGAUCAUUAAGGUCAAAGCGACAAAAUGAUCUCCAAAUGUUCGAAGGACUAUUGAAGCCAAAGUGACAACAUAAUUCUUGCCGAAGCGACAGAAUCAUGCCUGCAAAACAAAAAACAACCUGCAAAACAACUAUAUCAGUCUAAAGGAUAUAUUUAUUGAUUUACUGACCUUGCCGUGCGGAGCAGCCUCUCAUGCUGCUCCUCCUUAUGCUCAAUAAAUCCUUGAUUGAUCUGUCCGAAGCGACAGAUCUUUCAUGCUAAAAAAUGUGACAGCUUCUGGCCGAAGCGACAGAAGUGCCGACUCACUAUUAGAGUCUGAUUCUGACCAAGGCUACAGAUCCACNNNNNNNNNNNNNNNNNNNNNNNNNNNNNNNNNNNNNNNNNNNNNNNNNNNNNNNNNNNNNNNNNNNNNNNNNNNNNNNNNNNNNNNNNNNNNNNNNNNNNNNNNNNNNNNNNNNNNNNNNNNNNNNNNNNNNNNNNNNNNNNNNNNNNNNNNNNNNNNNNNNNNNNNNNNNNNNNNNNNNNNNNNNNNNNNNNNNNNNNNNNNNNNNNNNNNNNNNNNNNNNNNNNNNNNNNNNNNNNNNNNNNNNNNNNNNNNNNNNNNNNNNNNNNNNNNNNNNNNNNNNNNNNNNNNNNNNNNNNNNNNNNNNNNNNNNNNNNNNNNNNNNNNNNNNNNNNNNNNNNNNNNNNNNUAUUAGAACCUUUCCUGCAAAAAAGAAAACAUCCUGCAAAAUAACUAGAUCAGUUCGAAAACGCAUAUAUUUAUUAUUGAACUUACCGUGUGAUCUACCUUUCGUGAUGUCCCUCCUUUGCUCAAAUUUGUCCUCGGUAAAUCUGGCCGAAGCGACAGAUUUUACCGUGCUCAAUUUCUUUGACGACUUCUGGCCGGAGCGACAGAAGUGUCGGGAGAGCUUGUGAUACUCCCCCCUGAAAUGUGACGACUUCCAUCCUAUAGACAGAAGUGCCGGGAGAGCUUGUGAUACUCCCCCUCGAAAUGUGACGACUUCUAUCUAAAUAGACAGAAGUGCCGGGAGAGCUUGUGAUACUCCCCCUCGAAAUGUGACGACUUCCAUCCUAUAGACAGAAGUGUCGGGAGAGCUUGUGAUACUCCCCCCUGAAAUGUGACGACUUCCAUCCUAUAGACAGAAGUAUCGGGAGAGCUUGUGAUACUCCCCCUCGAAAUGUGACGACUUCCAUCCUAUAGACAGAAGUGUCGGGAGAGUUUGUGACACUCCCCCUCGCGAAUUGUGCCCUUGUGACACAAAAACAUUUGCGACGAGUGUUUUUCGAAGUAUGUGACUGUCGGUGAACUAUCUAUUGUUUUUCCUUUGCUAAUCUUUCAUAUAAAUUACCCUUCAAAUUGUAACUAAGGCCCGAAACUAGAUUCACAAGUCGUAAUUUAGCCACUCUGGACGUAAAUUAGACUCUGCUAACCCUAUUGCUAGCCACUCUGGGCAUAGACUUGGUCGUACGAAUCGUAGCUCAGUCUACGGUUAAAUUUAUGGACAAUUUAUACCUCUAGACUAGCGUCGGAUUACUAGAGAUAGAGUAAACGACGAAUCAGAGAUAUUCGACACUCAAAGGUUGCCUUAAAAUUCGGAACCUUAACGAUGGAGAGAGCUUGUGAUACUCCCUCCUGAAAUAUGAUGACUUCUGGCCGAAGCGACAGAAGUGUCGGGAGAGUUUGUGAUACUCCCCCCUUGAAAUUUGACAACUUCUGGUCGAAGUGACAGAAGUGUCGGGAGAGUUUGUGAUACUCCCCCCUGAAGACUUGCACUUGGGGCAGUUUUAGUGUUAUUUUACCCGGAAUCGGCAACAAGAGUUUGUGAUACUCCUACAGUCGGCGAUACCUAUGGUUUGGGUAACUGUAGAGGGUAUUUUUGUUUUUUACCCCUGCGAGUCGGCGACUCCCUCUGUGAGUCGGCGACUCCUAGUGUAACCGCCGGAUCUUUUUGGGAGAUCCUUGGGAUAUUGGGAAGAUAUACGGGGAUUAUUUGUAAAAUCUCCAAAUAAGGAAAUUUUUCUCACAGUGCUGUGAGUUUUUGCCCGGAGUCGACGACUGCCCUGUGGAGUCGGCGACUUGGCGUGAUUCGGGGGAUUUGGAGAUCGAUUCUUGAUCUCAAAUUUUGUAAAUUUUGGGUUUUCUAGGGGGUUUUUGCAAUUUUCCCAAGGGCUAUAAAUAGUGGAGAGGUUUUCCCCAAACCCUCACAACACUUUUGCCACUCUUAAAUCGCCCACACCUCCAGAUUUUUGAAUCGUCGAUUCUUCAGUUUUAAAACUUCGAAUCGCAGAUUCCCCCAAUGUCUACCCCCGAUUCCCCUUUGUCUCCAUUGAAGGAAAACGAAACGUCAGCUUUCAUAGCUGAGAUGAUUGUGGACAACCUUGAUGAGGUGUUGAACACCGUUGAAUCGCCGAUUCCCUCUCCUGACAGAGAGGUUGAGCCGGCGAUUCCGGUCGUGCCACCUCAUGGAAUGGAGUUGAGUGCCACCGUGCACGAACUACUUGGCGCCUCGCCAGUGUCGGCGACUCCCCUUGUGGAGUCGGCGACUCAGUGCAGGGCCCUUGUAGUCGUACGGGAGCCUCUUGAGCUGGGGGAAAUUCCCGUGGCCUCUGUGUCGGCGACUCCCAUUGUGGAGUUGGCGACUCACGCAGGUCCUGUUAAAGGGAAAUCCUUCAAGCGAAGGGGGCAGGGCUCAGCUGCCAUUGGGUCGGCGACUGCUGGCCAUGCCUCGCCGAUUCCUAUCAUUGAAUCGGCGACUCGUGUGCUGGAGUCGGCGACUCCUAUGCUUAUUGAUGAUUCUUCCGCGCGUCGCACCGUACCAUUGGUCAUGAGCGCGGAAGGCCGAAUCGUGUCGGGACUGAACCCGAACCAAGGUCCUUCUCUGAAGAGAAAGAGAAGGCGCACCACUGGGAAGGGCAAAGUACGCGUGCCCGAAGAGAACGAAGGGGUCCCUCCUCCAUUGAAUAUAAACUUCGAGGAGACCUUGACUGUGGACCGUGGUGCUCAAAAUCCAUGACGUAGAGCGGGCCGGCGCUCUGAGAGAACUCCGCCACCUCCCGUGGAUCUGAACGCUAGUCGAGACCCGGACCUCGACUUGAACACGUACGUUGGAGCUUUGAACCCCUCUGGGUUCGCUCACUGUGAAAUCGCCGCGAAUGGCAUACCAAGGUUGCUUCCUAUCGACCGUUUUGGGGACGGCGAUUAUGAACAAGUGAUGACUCAUGCAACCUUGGAUGGGUCCGAUGGAGUGAAUCCCCCCUCCAAUUUGAAUGCGAGCGACGCUCGAUCACUGCUGUCGGGGAUUCAGAUAUCUGGUCAUCUGCGAUUCUGGAUGUCGCGAUACCAGCCGAUUAAUCUGCCAUCCCCGGGAUUCUAGGCUAUCCCGAGGAUCUACUUCAAGCACUUCUCCGAGCUGCCAAUUCCGGAGAUCAUCAGUGAAGUGCUCUUGAGAUUUGAAGUGUCCCUGUCGCAGCUCCCUGCGGGAUUCUUUGUGAUCCUGCGUGGUUUCAUGAACAUCUGCUGGGGGCUCAAUGUUGCUGCGACGGCGAGCUUGUUUCUGUACUUCUACAAGCUCACCAGAGAGAAGUCUGCAUCCGGUCGCUUUGGAUUCACGCGGCGACACUUUGACAAAAAUAUCGUCGACGAGCUCCCGACGAACUUCGGAUGCAACUGGAGAAAAGAGUUUAUCUUCAUAACUUCUGAAUUUCUUCCCGGGAGUCGGGAAAUGUGGAAUGACCCUAAUCGAGUGCAUAUGAACGCCUCGAUCGAGCUGAGUACGAGGGAUAUUGAGGUCUCGGAUCGGAUAGCGCGUACGCUUACUGCAUACUCUGUGCCGCGCGGUGUUCCCUUUGUCCUUUGCCAAAGGGAAGACUUUACAUUUGAUGAUAUUGAGGAAGCUCGUGAGCCACCCACUGAGAAAGAGCUGGAAGGUGGACAAAAACGAUCGAUCCUAUACCACGACGCUGCACCUCUUUAUAUGCGCAAGAGGUUCCGAGAGGGCAAGCUGAUCAGAUUGCGAAAGAAGAAGACCUCUCGCAGCGAGCCUCGCCGGACCUUUGAGCAUGGGUCGAGCUCUCGCUCUGCACCACCACCUCCCAGGGGCUAUGUGCCUUACACUUCUGCUGGAGUGACACUUCCCGACUUCAUGGCUGAUGCUGAAACUCGAAGGGAAGCGAUGUCACUCCUUUUGGGUCAUCCUGGGACCUGGUGCCGGAGCGAGCUCUUAAAGCAUUUGAAUGCCGCAUGCUAUAUGGCACAUGCUUGUUAUCAUGGAGACUCUAUCCAUGACGUCGAGAAGAUACAAGAAAAAUACAACCAACUCGACGCGAAGUUCAAAGAGAGCGAGAAGGCUCUCGAUAAGCUGAAGAAUAUGAGGUCCAGGAUGGAGAACCUCCGUGACAAUAUUCUGCCGAAGAAGGACAAGACCAUUGAGUCCAAGCAGAAAGAAAUAGAUGAGUAUGUCACGAAGAUCUUGGCGCUUCGCAAAGAUCUGAAAGUUGCUAGUUCUGGCAGCACUAAAGACAUUGAAGAUCUAAAGAGCCAACUAGCUAAUGAGAAAGGGUACGUGGCCUCGCUUGAGGCUACGGUAGCGGAGUUGAAGAAGCAAGCUGCUCAGAGCCAACGAGAAACCACUGAGCUGAAAAGCGAGCUUGCAAGUGCGGAAGAAGAGGUUCUGACUCUGAAAGAUGACAAUGCCGCACUUGCUGGGAGAGCUGCUGGGUUGGAUUUGGAUGUACGUUACCAAUCCGACCAGCUUCAAGAGCUCAUAUUCUUUGGUCCUUCCGUGUAUCCUGCUCUACCCCCCGACUACAUCACGGACAUAAUGGCGUGGGUAGAGCAACAUCCUGAAGAGCUCGAGAAAAAUAAAGAAGCUCUCGACAAGAUGAAGGACGAAGCCGCGCGAGAAUAGAUUUUCUAAGUCCUUUUAUUUUGUAACCUUUUUGUACUCGUUAUCUUUUUGUAAAUCUGAAAAUUUUUAAUGAAAUUAAUCGCUUUUGCUUUUCUAUUCAAUUGUUCAUUUACUUUAUUCUUUUGAAUUGUAACUAAGACCCGAAACUAGAUUCGCGAGUCGUAAUUUAGCCGCUCUGGACGUAAAUUAGACUAACCCUAUCGCUAGCCACUCUAGGCGUAGACUUGGUCGUACGAAUCGUAGCUCAGUCUACGGUUAAAUUCGCGAAAAUAAACUAAACUUUACAACUAAUAGUAAGUCGCAAUAUCGAUUAACAAAUUCGAAAGAUAACAAAUAUGUCGAAAGAUAACUAUCAAUCCUAAGACUCUAGAGUUGUAGUUUUGCUCCAGCCAAGGUGACGGAGCAACUUUUUGUCCCAUACCAAAGAUGUAACAAUGAGAUGGGGUGAAAAUUUAAAAACGUUUACUAAUCUAUUAAGGCCGUAGCGACAUGAUAGAUUUUGAUUUGUGGUGGGUACUUAGAACCUCUUGUGGUUGGGUUCACUUGUCCCUAUCAACUACCUAGGACUCUGCUUUUAGACCCUAAUGCGUGGUUGAACUCUGGCCAUGAUGACAGAGCAACUUUUUGGACCCAUAUCUGGGCUGAAGUGAUCAUAAUGUGUUUAAAGAUAAUUUUGAUCUAUUAAGGCAAUAGCGACAAAAUAGAUUCAUAAAGUGGGGUGCUAGCUAGAGUCGUAGGUAGAUGAUAAAUCUAAAUUUUAUUAAAAGAUGUAAAUUACAACAGUAAGAUUUGUAAUUUUUAAACUAACACAUAGACUAAGAGGCUCUAACGUGCUUAAUACUAAGUGCGAUGUUGCUGUACGUUGUCCGUGUGCCAGAUGCAAGGACUUUUGGGUGACAGCUUAUUCCUAUUCCUCUUAGUUAUGCUAGCCUUUCUGUUGGUCUACCACCAGAUAGCAUAUGGAUGGUUUUCCGUGGGUGAUCUUCCCUAUUGUCACUGUCUGGUGAAGGAGAGCGUGGGCGCUUCCCAUUCACGUCAGACUUGCAAUUGUUUCGAUCCCGGGAUCCUUUGACCAGGCUGUCAAGUUCGCCGUUCGAAAUUAAUUGCUCGACAUAAAGCGAGAAUUCCCUGCAAUAGUCUGUCAGAUGGUCGUGGUCCUUGUGGAAUUCACAGAAUUUUCCACUUUUCUGGCGGCGAUCCUUGGUUGCAGGGUUCAUAGAGCGAGGAGCGGGCAGAUCCGCUCUGUUCUUCAGUUUUUCAAACAGCUCGCCUUUGCUGAUUGUUAGUGGGGUCCGGUUCCUCCAAGGUUGAGGUGGACCCCUUGGCGAUCGUUUGACGGAUAUUUGAUACACUUUGUUAUCAUGUUUAGGCUUCCAAUCCUUUCUGAAGGAAUCAGCCGCAUUGCUAGUGUAUCUGUUCGAGGAGUCAUUGUAGCUCUUUCUCUCGAACUUUUGUUUUUUGAAGCUAGUGUUCUCGAGUUCCACUAGCUUGUUUUCAUUCUGCUCUUCCACCUCAAUGAAUGACUGAGCUCGUUGGAAGAGGUCGGGUAAGGUCUCCACUUUGUGGAGUGUGAGAUUCAGGGCCAGAGGGGAGUAGGGUACCAGCACGUUUGUAUACCCCGCAAUGGCCAAACUUGGGAUUAAGUCGCUCACUUCUGUCAUCAUUGAAGUGAACUUAAACGUGUAAUCCCUUAGAGACAGUUUGUCCUGUCGUAGCGCCAAUAGUGCAUUGACGCUGUGUUUGAUCCUGAUCAUCCCCACAUGCUGGGCGAUGAAUUUGGAUGCGAGGUCUGCAAAGCAGGAAAUUGAUCCGGCUGGCAGACCAGAAAACCAUCGAUAGGCAUUGCCCUUAAGAGUGCCGGGGAAUGCUCGACACAGCAGUGCGUUAUCAGUGGUUUGCGGUUCCAGAACGCUGAGGUAGAGGUUGACGUGAUCUUGUGGAUCACUCGAACCAUCGUACGAUUCUAUUCUGGGUACCCGCCAGGUUGGUGGAAAGGCCACCUUCAAAAGGUCCUCUUGGAAAGGAGCGCUUUUGACUCUUAAGAACUCGAUCGGAUUGCUGAUGACUAGAGUGUCAGCCAGCUUCCGACGGAGGUCCUCUACGAAUCGUGUUGUAAGAGUCCUAUCAGUGCGACUCUUACUGGGUCCAGCUCUUAAUUUUUCUGGCUCUGGACCUUUCUUUUUCUCCGUAGUUGGAGAAUUGUGAGAAGCCGAUUUGGUAAGACAUGCCUUAUUACACCAGUCACUACCCAUCAACGCCUCUCAACAAGGACUAGGGCUCCGUCGCUAUGGCAGGACCCCCGGAGAGCUCCCACGGUGCGGAACACGUUCAUCGUCCAGAUCGCCGAGUUAGCCCGUAAAGUCGCCCGAUUGGACUACCAAGUCGCCGAGUUAAGGCAAGAUCGGCAGUAUGGUAGACUGUACGUCUUGGCCCUAGAAACUCGCCGAGUUAGCCCUUAACUAGGUGACUUCCAUACCUGAAUCGGCGACUUACGACCGUUACUCGGCGACAGCCAACGUCAUAAAUGUUACCAUAUAUGACCAUAGGCGCGAUCUCCGCCGAUGAGUGCGCCCUCCGAGACCCUAUAAAAGGGGUCCCAAGGGGACACUCAAAGGCACGAUUCAAGUUCCACUCUCACACCAGAGCACUACACUACGAAACUCGGCGAGUCUCAUUAGAAUCGCCUAGUUUCCACUUGCAGGUAUUUGACGUAGAGCGUGCGUCGUGGACUCCAAAGCCUCCGGCAUCAACCUCGCACCACUGCGAGCCCUGGUAGCAGAUUCAGUGCUUCAUCAGCUGACGCCGUCUGUGGGACUACCGAACCACCGGUAUCCCGUCGUAAUCGCGAUUUUUUAAAAAUCCGGCUCGAGCUCUCCCAAGAGUUCGCCGAGUUUGUCAAAAAAUCGCCUACUUAGAUCGUCCGAUUCUCGGUUAACGUCCGAUUUAGCCUUAAAUCGCCGACUUAUCCUUGAGAAUCGCCCGAUCCGGAAUAUCGUCUGCUAGCUAAGAGUGUUGUCCACGACCUUGUUCGGAAAAACCCCUAACUCGCCGAGUUAACACUUAACUCGCCGACUUAGCUCUUGUUUUCCCAACAGGCUCAGUCAGGUACCUCUCUGCUUUGGUACUUCCUCGCUUUCGCUUUCAUGGCAAUCAUCGAAAAGCAGAAGCACCCUUACGCCACAAGAAGUAAGGGGAAAAUGCCAGCAACUGAGCUGGAACAGGGUGAGCAAUCCCGACCUAAGGGACCCAUCAAUGCUCAACCUGUGGAAACAAACUCGGUUCCUCCUCCUGUCGAGGAACACAUUAUGCCCAAGGCUCCACCCACCUUGGAAGAAAGGUUGUUCAGUUUCAUGGACAACAUUGAAAGAAGGAUGACUAACCUCGAGCAAGCGAGGAGUCAUAGGACCACCACCAUCCGUGAAAGAACGGACGAAUCUGGGUCCAUCUAUUCUCCAUCUGCGGAGAAAAAACAGAGUUCCCGUCCCAAGACGGGACCCAGUAAGAGUCGCUCCGAGAGGACUCUUACUACUCGGUUCGUAGAGGAUCUUCGGCGGAAGUUGGCCACCGACCCAGCCGUCGGCAACACGCACGAAAUCCUGAGGGUUAAAAGUCCUCCUCUUAGCGAGGACCUUUUAAAGGGAGUUUUCCCACCCAACUGGCGGGUACCAAGAAUCGAGGCAUACGACGGUUCAAGUGAUCCAGAAGAUCACGUGAACCUCUACCUCAACGUCUUGGAACCGUAAACCAUCGAUGAUGGGCUGCUGUGUCGGGCAUUCCCCGGCACUCUCAAAGGCAGCGCUUAUCGAUGGUUCUCUGGUCUGCCAGCUGGCUCAGUCACCAGCUUUGCAGACCUCUCAUCCAAGUUCAUCGCCCAACACGUGGGGAUGAUAAGGAUUAAACAUAGUGCCAACGCACUCCUGGCACUGAGACAGGACAAACUGUCUCUGAGGGACUAUACGGUCAAGUUCACCACAAUGAUGACAGAGGUGAACGACCUAAUCCCGAGUGUGGCCAUAGCGGGAUACAUUAGAGGAUUAGUCCCCUACUCCCCUCUGGCCCAAAAUCUGACUCUCUACAAGGUGAGUUCUCUGCCCGAACUCUUCCAACGCACUCAAUUGUACAUUGAGGUGGAAGAGGAGGACGAGAACAAGCUAGCUGAACUUGGGACUCCUAACUUCCAAAAGCCUAAGUUUGAGAGGAAGGGGUACAGUGGAAACAACAAUUUCCACGACACCUCCAACAAGUAUACCAGUAACAAGGCCGAGACUUCCAAAAAAGAAUGGAAGCCUAGGCAUGAUAACAAGAUAUACCAAGCCUCAACCAGCAAGCCAAAGGGUGUAAUUCCACUAUGGAAAAGAAACACCCCGCUUACUAUCAGAAAAGGCGAGCUGUUUGAGAAGCUAAAGAACCGAGCGGACCUACCUGUCCCUCGUUCUUUAGACCCUGCAGGCAAAGAGGGUUGCAUGCAAUCUGGGAAAUACUGUGAAUUUCAUAAAGACAGCGGCCACCUAACAGAUAACUGCAGGGAGUUCUCGUCUUUCGUCGAACAGUUGAUCUCAAAGGGAGAACUUGGCAACUUCGUCAAGAACUCCCGAGGACGGGACAACUGCAAAUCUGACACAAAGGGGAAGCGUCCGCGCUCUCCUUCGCCAGACACUGACAACAGCGAGAACCGCCAGCGGAAGACCAUCAAUAUGAUAUUUGGUGGUGGAUCCGUUGGCCAGAACAGGGGAUAUUCCCGAAAGGUGUUGAUGUCACAGUCAACACCUCGAGACAACGGAAAGCGGUAACAACUUGGAGCUAUCUUAAAAAGGAUACAUUAAAGAGUAACAAAAAUGAUAUUGGAUGGUUCUAUUCCAUUUCCAUCUUGAGAAAAGACAUAAUUGUGAUACAAUGUUCUUCAGAAGAUCGAGAAUACAACUUGUACGUCCCUGUUCUUUUAUUAUUUGGUUAUUUACAGUCUAUGGUUUCUAGUCCUUGAUAGAUGUUAGAUAUUUAAUAUUAUUUAUCUAAUAUAGGUUUUAUCUAUUUUUGUGGAUUUCUUUGUCGUUUUCUUUACAUGUCGAUUUUUAUUUAUUCUUAUUCUAUUAAUAGGUUAAUAAAUUCUUGUUCUAUUUGAAGAAGAGAGUUUCCCACCUCUUCCUCAGGUACGUACCUUCUCCAAGUUAUAAGGGACCUGAUGGAGGUCAUUGAAUUCUUAGUCUACCCUCCUCCAUUAUAGUCUGGGGCAUAGAUGGGCAGGAAGGGGAAUCAUCUUUAAAUGGAGGUGAUUGCCACCACUAAGUCAGACUUUAUCACAUUCCGGUGAUGGAUAUACACUUCCGAUGUUAUAAAAUCAUAUAUAAAAACCAACAUUGUCUCUGAUACCAAAUGAUAGAAAUUAUCAUACUUUAUUAUCUAUGAUUUUUAUAUCAAGAAUGUAAUGUACUUACAGAUUCAAACGCAACUUGUGUUGAAUCCAUUACAACGGAAGUACAUACUUGAUCUCUGUAUGUUUCUUUUGCCUUUCUUCUGAGAUUUUCUCUUUUUUGGGAUUCCUGAGACUUGUCUCUAUUGGAUGUCUUCUUUUGGACUAGUAGAAUAGACGAUGUUUCUUUAACCCUCAUAUCUUAUUUAUAUAAAAGCAAUGGGUUAUUUACACAUUGAUCCAUAUAUUGAUACUCCCACUUGAUCUACUACACAUAUAUUAACCUUUACUCAACCAUAUAAACAAUCUUUAAUGCAUGCUUUGUUUAUUUUUCUUUUUAAGUCUACACUCGGUCUCAUAAAGACAACAAUAAUAAAUCACAGCGUCACUAUGUCUAAAUGUGCAACAUAGAAACUUCUGUGUAUCACAUUACGUUCGUCUUUAUUAACAUUAGCUUCAUGUGGUAGUGCAGCAAACUGAAUGAUACUUUAUAUAUGUAUCAUUUUAUUGUCAGUCCUCUGUAAUCUAAUCCUUAUGGUGAGCCCAUACUCACACUAGACAUUAUUUAUGAUUCUCAUGAACCUUAAUCAAUUUAUGUAUCAUUUUUCUUCUUUAUUGUGAAAUACAUCACACAAAAAAAAAAUGUAUACCUACUAUAUUAUUUUCUCAUCUUUAUUGUAAAAACCAUCACAAAAGAAAAUUUUAACUUUAUAAUUUCAUUUUUAUUGUGAAAAUCAUCACAAGAGUAAAAUUUAACUUUAUAAUCUCAUCCUUAUUAUGAAAUUCAUCACCGGAGACCUUGUUUAAUUUCUUAAUUCAUUCUCACAAAUUAAUCAGAGUUAAAUAAGAAAUUGACAAAUCAUUUAUUAAAAUACAAUUAUUGAAGUUUUGAUAAUCUAAUAAAUAAAUUAAAUCUGAGUAUAAAUAAUAAUAAUAAAUUAUUACAAGAUUGAAAAUAUAAAAUAUUACAUAUGGAAAUAAAAUUACUUUCACUUAAACGAUGACAUCCCAAGAACCCAACAAACUCAUUGCUAAAAUAUGUGAAUUUAGUAUGUUAGGUUGUCCUUUAGUGAGUGGAUCAGCUAGCAUAUCAUUAGUACUAAUAUGACCGACUAUGAUAUCAUUUUCUCUACCUUUUUCUUUGAUUUUUAGAUACUUCAAUUUUAUAAACUUUGUAGACGUGACACUUUUGUUGUUGUUAAUACUCAACACUGUCGAAAGGUUAUCACAGUAUAUUUGAAUUGGUCUUUCAACAAAAUUGAAAACUUUCAAUUGUUGAAUGAAACUUUUUAACCAACUUGAUUGAAUUGAAACUCCAAAGCAUGAAAUAAAUUCAGCUUCCAUGGUUGAUGUGGCUAUUAACUUUUGUUUUUCACUUCUCCAAGAUACAGCACCACCUGCCAUUUUGAAGAUAUAACCAGAGGUUGACUUCUUUUCAUCUUUACAUCCAGCAAAAUCUGAGUCUAAAUAUCCAACUAGAUUCAAGUUUUCAACUCGAGUAUAUGUUAAUCUAUAAUUUCGAGUACCUUUUAAAUAUCUCAAAACUUUCAUCGCAACAACCCAAUGAUCCAAGCCUGGAUUAACUUGAUAUCUUCCUAAGAGUCCAACCAUAAAUACAAUAUCUGGUCUAGUGCAUACCUGAGCAUACAUUAGACUUCCAUAAAGAAAUGCUUUCAUUUCAUUCUUCUGCAAGUUUGUUAGAGGACAUUGAGCUAAAUUCAAUUUAUCACCUUUUACAAUUGAAGCAACACUUGACUUACAUUCUGAGAGAUUAAACCUUUGUAAUAUACGAUCGAUGUAAGCUGAUUGAACAAGACCUAACAAAUGUCUAGAUCGAUUUCUGUUGAUCUCAAUACCAAGAACAAAAGAUGCUUCACCCAAAUCUUUCAUAUCAAAUUCACUUGAUAAGAAUUUCUUUGUUUCAAAUAAUAUACUUAAAUCGUUGCAAGCAAGUAAUAUAUCAUCAACGUAUAGAACAAGCAAAACAUAUUUGCUCCCUCUGACCUUGUGAUAUAUACAUGGAUCCAUGAGAUUUUCCGAAAAACCAUAUGAAGAAAUGAUUUCAUGGAAUUUAAUAUGUCAUUGUCUUGAUGCUUGUUUAAGUCCAUAUAUAGACUUUUUAAGUCUAUAAACAAGCUUGUCAUUUUCUUCAAAACCUUGUGGUUGCGUCAUAUAUAUUUCUUCAUUGAGAUUCCCAUUAAGAAAAGCGGUUUUAACAUCCAUUUGAUGUAGUUCUAGAUUGUAGUGAGCCACUAAAGCCAUAAUGAUUCUAAAAGAAUUCUUCGAGGAAACUGGUGAAAAUGUUUCAUGAUAUUCAAUUCUCUCUCUUUGAGUGAAUCCUUUGGCAACCAAUCUAGCCUUAAACCGCUAAAUCUUUCCUCUGGAAUCUCAUUUGGUUUUAAAAGCCCAUUUGCAACUCACAACUUUAACACCCUCAGGUAACUGAAUAAGUUCUCAUUCUUUAUUAUGGUACAUAGACUGCAUCUCAUCUUUCAUUUCAUCUUGCCACAAAUCACAUUGUGCACUUGCAACCGCUUGAUCAUAUGAGAUAGGGUCAACUGUACUACUACAACCAAUGUCAUAGUCGUAUUCUCCUAAAUAAACUUCAUAAUCAUUAGGGAUAGCUGAUCUUCUUUCUCGUGUAGACCUCCUUGGUUCAAUAACUAGUGGAUCUGCCGGUGUAAUAAUUGGUUCAUCAACUUGAGCAAUAACUAGUGUGUCAACGGAUGUCACUGAAGAUGUGGUUGGUGUAAUCGAAAAUAAGGGUAUAACUACUGUUGAUGGUUGAUGGUCCAAUGAAUUAGAAACCUCUGAAGUAUUAACAUCUGCUACAUCAUUUUUUAAGAAUUUUGCUGUUCGAGAAUCUACAAUUAUUGUUCCACCAUGAGGUCUAUAAAAACGAUAUCCCUUAGAAUGAUUCGGAUAUCCCACAAAAUAGCAUGUCACUGUUCUUGAAUAUAACUUGUUUUAUGUUGGAUUGUAUAAUUUCACCCCUACAGGAUAACCCCAAAUCUUCAAAUGAUUUAAACUAGGUUUUCUACCUGUCCAAAGUUCAAAAGGUGUAACUAGUACUGACUUACUUGGGACUCGAUUCAAAAUAUACAAUGCUGCUUGUAUUGCUUCACCCCACAAGAAUGUUGGUAAAUUUGCUCUACUAGUCAUGUUUCUCACCAUAUCCAUUAGGGUACGAUUUCUUCUUUCUGCCGCUCCAUUCUGCUCAGGAGUUCCUGACAUAGUGUAUUGCCCAAUUAUUCCAUAUUCUUCCAAAUAUUGUGCAAAAGGACCUUUAAGUUGUCCAACAUCUCCAUGUUUACCGUAAUAUUCUCCACCUCUAUCUAUCUGAUCUAACAAUCUUUAUAGAUUUUUCCAAUUGUUUCUCAACUUCUGUUUUGAAUACUUUAAAUUUCUCUAAAGAUUCAUAUUUUUCUUUGAUAAGAAACAAAUGGCCAUAUUUAGAAAAAUCAUCUAUAAAUGUUAUAAAAUAUAAGCAUCCACACAAAGUUUUAUGAUAUGGUCCACUAAUAUCCGUAUAAAUAAUCUCCAAAAGACUAGUGUUACGAGUAGCAGUCUUUUUCCCUUUCUUGGUCAUUUUCCUCUUAAGACAAUCAAUACAUUCUGCAUGGUCAUUAUCUAAAGAAGGAAGAAUGGUCGAUUUAACCAAUCUUUUAAUUCUAUCUUGUGAAAUAUGAUCUAACCUUUUAUGCCAUAAUAUAUAUGAUUUUUCUUUAUUUAAGGGUCUUUUGGAAACUGUAUUUUCCACAUUAUAAGCUAUAUAGAUCUUCAUAGAAUCAAGACAUAAUCUGUAUAGGUCAUAAGACAAAACACAAUUACCCAUAAUCUUUGAGUUAAGAAACAUUGAAACUGUAUUGUUCUUAAAUUCAAAAGAAAAACCAUGUUUGCUUAAUUUACUAACAGAAAUUAGAUUCCGUCUAAACGACGGAACAUACAAAGUGUCUUUCAAUGUUAAACCAAAUCCUAAAUCUAGAUUUAAAAUAACAUCGCCCACAAAUUCUACAUCAGUUUGUCCAUCAUUUCCUACGAACAAUCUUGAUUCAUCCUGAUUUGGCUUCCUUCUAUUUGUGAAUCCCUGUAUGGUGAAUGCAACAUGAUUAGUUGCUCCACUAUCCAACCACCAAGAACUAGAUGAAGAUUCUAUUAAAUUAGAUUCAUAAACUAAUGUCAAAGAAUCAAUACCUUUUUGUUCCUGUUUUAUGAGCCAAGAUUUAUACUUUAAGCAAUUCUUCUUUAUGUGUCCCGGUUUCUUACAGAAGAAACAUCCAUUAAUUGCUUUCUUGAGGGAGUUCUUGUUAGGACCAAAUUUGUCAGAUAAGUUGGUAUCCUUAGAAUCUUUAUUUUUCACAAACUUUUUGAACUUAAAUCCUUUCUUAUUUGAACUAUACAUUGUUAUCGAAAAUUUUUCGCCUUUUAUUUUAUCCCCCAUUUCUCCAAAUAAUUAUUUCUUUUAAUUCGAGCCCAGGCUCGCCGGUUCGAGCCCGGGCCCGAGCCUGACAAUUCUUAAAAUGAGCCGAGCCUGAGCCUGGCUCUAUAAGCAAAAGCUCGACUUGUUUGACACCUUAAUCUCAGAUAAAUAUUCCGAGAAUAUUUUGCCACUUAUCUUCAAAUUCUGAAGUUUUUUGGCGUAGACUCAUCACAUGCGAUCGAGAAUUAGAUGCAAAUUGCAUUUGAAAUGUUUCUCAUACCUCAUGUGUCGUAGCACAAUCAGAGACUUCCGACAGUACCGAGAGUGAAAUUGAUGAAAAUAGCCAUCCUAAAAUCAAUUGAUCUUGCUUGAUGGCAAGAGAGUUGUCCAAUUUUUCCCUACCGGCCAGAUAGUCCAUCAGCUCAUGACCUCGGAUAUUAGCCCCAAAUUGGGCUCUCCACGCGAAGUAGUUGCUGCGGUCUAGGGCUACAGUCUUGAAGUUCUUGGCGGUCACCUUUCCUGGUGCAUCGUUGCCAUAGAGCUUCUUUGCAGCCAGCGAAAUCCCUUUGUCAGCUUCGUCAAUCGACAUUGCGUAUCGGAAAAAAAUUGUGAUCGUCAACGAUUUUGGAGCGAUUCCGAUGAUCAGAGAUGUGCGGCUUCCCAAGAUCAGCUAAGCGAAAGAUACCAUAACAGUGAAUUGAAAUAUAUGAAUGGGGAAAGCCAAACUCGAUCCUUUUCAUAUUCAAUAGUAAGAUCUAUUUAUACAAUUUGUUACUCUAAUAUCCUAUUUGUUUGUUCUUUUGUAUUAUCGAUAUUUAUUGUCUAUUUUUUAUAAUGUUCUUGUCUAUUUUUAUAUUUACAGUCUAUGGUUUUUAGUCCUUGAUACUUGAUAGAUAUUUGAUAUCUAUUAUAUAUUUUAUCUAUUUUUGUGGUUUCUUUGUCGUUUUCUUUAUUGAUUUUUAUUCAUUCUUGUUCUAUUAAUAGGUUACCAAAUUCUUGUUCUAUUUGAAGAAGAGAGUUUCCCAUCUCUUGCUCGGGUACCUUCUCCAAGUUAUAAGGAACCAGAUGGAGGCCAUUGAAUUGUUAGUCUACCUUCCUCCAUUGGAGUCUGAGGCAUAGAUGGACCGAAAGUGGAAUCAUCUAGCUUUAGAUGGGGGAGGAGAGCACGACUUGUGCUAGAACUUCUUCAAGAAAUUUGACAAAUUUACGCUUCUCAACCUUACUCAUGGCUCUCGCGUCUUGAUGUUACAAGAGUUGCUCGUGGAGGGUACGUAAGGCUAUCCCCAACUGAAUCUUUGACUGGGGGAAAGAUGAUUCCGUCAGGGAAUUUGAUGUAAAAAUUCGAAAAACAAACAUAUAACAUUAUUAUUAGAGGAAACGUUUCAAAUAAAAUAUUUAAAAUAAUAUAUAUUUUGUGAAAUAUUAAUUUAGAACGUUCAUUUAUUUUAAAUUAAAUUAAACACAUCUUAAGGUAGAUCAUAUCAUUUAAUUAGUGGAAUGUUUUAGAGAUUAAUUUUAUACCAUUUAAAUGAAAUAAAAGAGUACUUAUACUAUUACAACAUUUGUAAUUAAUUAAUUAAUUAAUUCUAAAGGAUUUUUAAUAUAAAAAUUCUAAUUGGAGCAGCGGUCUUCCGCUUCUCUCUCCGGCUCGGACCCGGUUCAUCACCGUUGGGUGAUUUUUGUUUACCGUGGUCUUCCCCCAAUUAAGUUAGGAUUUAGGUCGUCUUCUUCAACAACAACUCUUCUAAUCGUCGUGCUAUCUUCCUGGAUAGUGGAGCAGUCUAUCAGCAUCAUAUCAUCGUCGGCUUCUUCAGAUUCGGCAUUGUCUUCAAUGUUGAUAGGAGGGAAAAGACGCAACACAUCUUCAUGAAAUUCCCAAGACGAGUCCUCCGGUAUCGCUCCAUUCCAAGCGACCAGCCAUUGAUUUCUCUGUCUCGAUCUCACCCUGAAAAAUGGUACGUUUAUUAGAAUAAAUAACUUCUACUGUUUUUUUAGUUGAGUUUAAUAUUCUCAAAUACAAUUAAGUUUAUACAAUGAGUUAGUUGUUAGAGGUUAAUUAGUUUUAGAUACUCUUUCUUAUAAAUUCUUUUGUAAGACUGUAUUCUUGGUUAAUGAAUUAAGUUCUUUCUUUUGAGAUUAUUGUUGAAUUGAGCUUGAAACAAGCACCAAAAUCUUGGUACUCAAGACUGAGUGCAUUCCUAAUAUUAAAUGAAUUCACUAACAGUCUGGCAGAUACAUUAUUGUUUCAAAAAAAAGAUAAUAUUUUAAUUUGAGUAAUUGUGUAUAUAUAUAGAUGACAUUAUAAUUUCAAGAAACAACAACAUUGAAAUUGAAGUUUUUAUUAAAAAUCUUUGUACUGAAUUUAGAUGUAGAGACCUAGGACUUUUGAAAUAUUUCUUUAGUAUAGAAAUUAGAUACAAUUUUGAUGGGUCACUUAACAUGACUCAACCUAGAACUUUUGGACUGGUCCAUGUUCCGAUCUUUAAAUAUAAAAAGGGUUUUGUAAAUUUGAUUUUGGUUGUAAACACGAAUCAUCUUGUAGGGUUUCAGCGGGAAAUGAGGGUUUCACUGGAGGCAAGGGUUUGCUGGAGGCAAUCGUUCGGGUAUGUUUCUAGUCUUCUUCUUUUGUGCAUGUCGCUCUAUUCUUCUUGUGUAUGUUGUCUUUGGUUGGGUAUCCUUAUUCAUUUGUAUUCUUAAUGGGUUUUGUAGUGGGUGUUCUGUCUGUUAAUGUGUUUGCAUGUCAGUGUUUUCUUUCAUGGUGUUUGUUUUCCUUCAUCCUUUGUGUUUGUUUUCCUCUAUCAGUCUGUUCCGUGUAAGUUUUCCAUAUUCAGUUUCUUUUUGAGAUGAUUGAAUAGAUAUCCUGUAACAUCUUUUGUGAAGAUGUCUUCCACGUUUUCUUUGGUGUUUACCCUUUCUAUUUCAAUCUCUUUUUGCAAAGCUUUGUCUCUGAUCGUGUGUGUAUCGAUUUCUAUGUGUUUUGUUCUUUGAUGUAAGACUGGGUUUGUUGCGAUUGCAGUUGCAGAGGAACUAUUUGUAUAGAGUUUUGGAGUUACUAUAUUUACAUGCAUUUCCUUUAAUAGUUGUUUUAGCCAUGUGAUUUCACAAGUUGUGUGUGCUAAGGGUCGGUACUCUUCCUCUGCUGACGAUCUUGCCACUGUAUGUUGUUUUUUGGUUUGCCAUGAAACUAGGUUAUCAUUCAAGAAGAUGGCAAAUCCUGAUGUGGAUCGUCUGGUUGUGGGGCAAGAGGCCCAGUCAGAGUCUGAAAAUACUUUAAUCCUUCAGGUUCUUGUGCCUGAUGAGAAGAAAAGUCCACUUCCUGGUGAGUUUUUAAUGUAUCUUAAUAUUUUGUUCACCUUAGUAGAGUCUUCAUUUGUUGGUUCUGACAUGUGUUGGCUUAGUUGGUUUACUACAUAUGUUAUAUCGGGUUUGGUUACAGUUAGGUAGACAAGUUUUCCAACUAUGCAUCUGUACUCAGUAGGAUCAUCAAGUAAUUUAAUUUCCUUGUUCUGUUUGUUUGGCGAUCUUGAUGGUGUAUAGAGUGGGUAUUCUCCUGGUUUAGCAUGUAGAUAGUUGUUUUGUUCAAGGAUUUCUAAUUCAUAUUUUCUUUGGCUAAUAAAAAUCCCAUGUUGUGUUGUUGUGAAUUCUAAUCCUAAGAAUUUUUUUAAUGUUCCUAGAUCUUUGAUGUUAAAAAAACUGGUUAAAUCUGUCUUAAGUUUGAUUAUUUCUUUUAAGUUAUUUCCUGUGAUUAAUAGAUCAUCUACAUAUGGUAGGAUGAAAAUUUUAUUUUUCCCAUUGAUCUUACCGAAGAGAGCAUAAUCCUCUCUUGUCUGUUUAAAACCUAAUUUGUUUAGUACUUGUUGUAGUUUGUUAAACCACAUUCUAGAUAUUUGUUUUAAGCUAUAUAGAGGUUUUGUUAAUUUGCAUGCUAGUUUGUGGUUAUCUGUUGGUUCUUUGUUGAUCCUUAGACCUUGGAGAAUGUCCAUAUGUAGACUUCUUCAUUUAAGUCUCCAUGUAAGAAGGUGGUGAGACAUGCCUGAUUACGGCAGUCACUCCCAGCAACGCCUUUCAACAAGGACUAGAGUUCCGUCGCUUUACCCCCGGAAGGCUCCCACGGUGCGGAACAAGUUCAUCGUCAAAUCGCGAGUUAACCCAUAAAUCGCAAUUGGACUACCAAAUCGCCGAUUUUAGGGACAAAUCGUUGAGUUAGGUCCCAGAUAGGCAGUAUGGUAGACUGCAUAUCUCGCCCCUUGAAACUCGACUAGUUUACCCUAAUAGGCAAUUUUCAUACCUGAAUCGUCGAUUUACGACCGUUACUCGCCGCCAGCCAACGCCAUAAAUGCACCCAUAUAUGGCAAUAGGCGCGAUGUCCGCCUUUGAUCGCGCCCUCCGAGACCAUAUAAAAAGGGUCCCAAGGGGACACUCAAAGGCACAACACAAGUUCCACUCUCACCAGAGCACCACUAAGAGAAUCGCCGAUUCCCACACCAGAAUCGCCGAUUCUCUCCUUUCAGGUAUUUGACGUAGAGCGUGUGUCGUGGACUCCAGAGCCUCCGCGAGCCCUGGUAGCAGAUUCUGUGCUUCAUCAAUCCUUCAGUGGAUGCUAGGGAGAUAAGUGUUCUUAGUGUGGUCAUUCUAGAAACUGGUGCAAAAGUUUAUGUGCAGUCUAUCCCCUCUGUUUAGUUAUAGCCCUUGGCAACCAAUCUAGCUUUGAAUUUGUCUAGGCUUCCAUCAGCCUUAAGUUUUGUCUUAAAAACCCAUUUGCAAUCUAUGAUUUUUGUCUCUCUUGGUACUUCAGUGAUUCUCCAAGUGUUGUUUUGUUUUAGUGCAUUUAUUUCAUUGCUUCUUGCCAGUGUGAUACUUGGCUUGCUUUUUGUAAUUUUUAGGUUCUAUGUGUUCUGAAAUUUUAAUUAGAAAUGCUCUGUGUUUUUCCGAAAAUUUGUUGUAGUUGAUGUGGUUGCUUAUUGGAUAUUUUGUUGUGUUGUAACAAACGUAGUCAUCCAAUUUUGUGGGUCUCUUUCUCUCUCUUGUGGGUCUUUCAGGCUUUUCUCUCCUAUUGUUUCAUCUUCUACAUGGUUGUUUGAGUUUUCAGAGUUUUGGUUGUCAUGAUUUUGUUGAAUUGCUUGGUCUUGGAUUUGUGUUCUCAUUGUUGAACUUGAUUUCAGUAUCUAUAAGGAGGAUCCCAUUUUCCUUUUCUUCUAUGUUUUUGAAAGGGAAGAUAUUUUCAUGGAAUAUUACAUCUCGGUUGAUAAUUAUUUCAUUGUUUUUAAUAUCGAGAAUCUUGUAUCCUUUUGUUAAUGUAGAAUACCCUAGAAAUACCCCUUUUGUGGCUCUGGCCUCAAAUUUAUUUGUCGGUUUAUUGAUUUUUGAGUAGCAAAGACAUCCAAAUUUUUUGAGACUUUCAUAUGAUGGUUCUUUUUGGAAGAGUCUGAAAUAAGGGGUUUCAUUAUUGAUGGUUGGUGAGAACAUUCUAUUUAUGAGAUAGCAAGCAGUUUGGAUGCAUUCUCCCCAGUAAGUUGUUGGAACUUCAGAUUGGAAUAUUUAGCAUCUAGUUAUGUCUAGGAUGUGUUUGUGUUUUCUUUCUACUAUUGAGUUUUGUUAUGGGGUGUAGAGGCAAGUGAGUUGGUGUUUUAUUCCAAAGCCCUAUAGAAAGGUUUGGAGGUUUACGUUAAGGAAUUCAGUACCAUUAUCGGUUCUGAUUGUUUUCACAGAAGUGUCAAAUUGGUUGAUUGCUUUUGUGAUGAAAUGUUUUAGUUUUCCUGGUGUUUCCCCUUUAUUGUGUAAUAGUAUUAUCCAGGUGGCUCUACUAAAGUCAUCCACUAUGGUGAUGAAGUAGUGGUGACCAUUGUAUGUUGGUGUUCUGCAUCUUCCCCACAAGUCAAUAUGUAGUAAUUCAAAAAAAUUCGUAGUUUUGGAAGUACUUGUAGAAAAUGAUAAUCUAAUAAAUUUUGCAGUUGGACAUUCAUUACAUAAAAUAUUUUUAAACAUAGGAAUAGAUGGAUUGUUUUUCCUAAUUAGAUUGUAUCUCAAAAUUAAAGAAUGUCCUAGCCUUCUAUGCCACAGCUCUGCAUUUUUUUGAGCUGAAUUUACCCAUACUUGUCCUUCUUUCGUUUCUUCAGAUGAUAGGAUGUAGAGUCCUUUCCUUUUAACCAUAGAAAUCGAAUUCAUCUUCGAAUCCUGUAUUAGACAGUGGUUAUUAUAGAAAACGAAAAAGCAGUUAAUUGAAUUUGUCAGCUUUGUGACAGAGAUCAAAUUAACAUUGAAAUUUGAAAUUUUUAACAUUGGAUCUAGUGUUAAUUUUUCAUUCAGGGUGAAUGUUCCAACCUCGUGCAUAAUUGCUAUGUGAGAGUUUGGCAUAUGGACCUUAAUAGGAUGGUUAAGUAUCCUUAUGUUGGAUAGCUGGAUUACCGGACCACACAUGUGGUAUGUGGCUCCACUAUCUAUCACCCAUUCAUUUUGUCUAUUCACUGUUGAAAUGAAGCAGUAAGAUUGUGUACCUGAUUUUUCUAUGUCAUGGGUUGUAGAUCUUCCCACGUUUGCAGAGUGUUUAGGUUUGUUUUGUCAUUGUAGCAUGGACAUGAGUUGCUCAAUGGUGUAGCUUGGUUGUCCUUCUGAAUAAUUGACUCUAUUUCUUGUGGGGUUUCAUGGUGAUCUUCUUGGUUGUAGUUAUCUUGGUAAUUGUAGUCUUCCCAGUUUUGUUGUUCUUGUGGCUCUUCUGAAUCCUCAGUGUAUGUGUUGUUUGCCCUGUAGUUUGCCUAUUGUAAUUCCUGCCAUACUGGUUUUUGUUUUCCCUUCUUGGGUAGCUAUUUGUUGGAUUGUAGGGUCUGUUAGGUCUCCUGAAAUUUUGUGAGUUAUUUCCAUUGUUGUAUGUUUGCCUUUCAGGGUAUCCAUGUACUUGGUAGCAAUUGUCAACAGUGUGCCCUGAUCUUUUGCAAUGUGUACAGAAGGGCCUUUCUCUUAUCUCUGGUUUUGAUGGUUUGUAAGGGUCAUUUGCCAGUAAGGUUGUUGUUACCUCAGUUGUGGGUACUGUGUGAUUUCUUUGCUGUUAUUCUUGUUUGAUUAUAGGAUAUAAUUCACCAAGUUUUGGGGUCGAUUUCUGAGCCAUUAGGACACCUCUAAUUGUUGUGUAGGUUUCAUUCAGUCCCAUUAAGAAUUUUACUGAUCUUGCAAAUUCAUCAGGGGGGUUAAUGUCUUCUUUGUUGGUGUCAUAUGUGCUCUAGAUGAGUUUAGUCAGUUUGGUGUAGUAUGUGCAUACUGAGUCUUGUCCUUGGUAGAGUGUGUAUGUUUGUACUAGGACAUCAUAAAGCAUUGCACCAUUUGAUUGGUUGUAUCUGAUUGCCAAUUCAUCCCAUAAUAUCCAUGGUUUGCUAGCUGUGAGAAAAGAUGGUUGUAGCUCUGGUGUGAUGGAGCUUAGUAAUCAAGAAUGUAUCAUAGUGGUGCAGGCCUUCCAUUUUCUAUGUUCCUUUGAAUAUGUUUCUUGGUCUGGUUCUGGUAUGACUCCAAGUAGGAACCCUAAUUUUGAUCUACCUUCUACUGCCAUUUCAAAAUGCUUUUUCCAUACUGGAUAGUUAUUACCAUCCAGUUUAAUAGUUACCAUAAAAUGUGAAGAGAAUUCUGAACUGUAGAUGUCAUCCUCUUUUGUUUUUGUGCUUUGUAUGUUUUGAUCAUCAUAUUCAGACAUUUUCUGCAGAUUCAUAAUUAGCUAAUUACGUGGAGUUUGUAGAAGGCGAAAAUUCUAAGUAGCAAAUGUGAAUGUGGAAGUUAAUACUAAGGAGUGUGUUGACCACUUGAUGGUCGAGGAAGAUGUUGAUCCUCCUCCUGAUCCUACUGAAGAUGAGGCUACAAUGAUUCGUAGGGCUACUAGAAAGAGGAACAGGGAGGAAGGAGAAGUGUUCCACGAUCCUUUCACAGUGUGGAUGGAUGACUGCUGGAGGAAAGGUAUUUCCCCUGACCUUAAUAAUGCACCUAGGUAUCGUGAUUAUAAAUGGGAAAAUGAUGAUGAGCUUCCACCUUGAGAUGGUCGUUUUGAUGAAAUGUUUAAUUCAGAUACAGAAGUUAAUGGAGGUAUCUAUGGAUUUAGUGAAGAUUCUGAGGUUGAUCGUCUCUAUGAUCGUGAGAUGUUGGGAGUGAGUGUGGACAUUGUAAUUGUUAUAAGUGAUGAUGAUGAUGAUGCUGAGGAUAGUGAUGCUUGGUAAUCCUGAUUAUAUGGAGUUGAUCUUCGACACUUGAAAGAACUGAAGAAAGAGAAUAAGGGUAAUGUAGAGCCAGACUAUGAGAAGUGGCUCAAGAUGAUACUUAAGAAGAAAUCGAAGUGAGGAUUUUCCUCAUCUUUUUGAAGUAAAGAAAAAAAACUUUAUAUAUUUUGUUUUCUCUUUGAGAAUAAAUACUUUCCCUUUUUUUUAUUAACCUAUUACUUGGGUUUGUUUUACUAUGGGGAUCUCAAUCGCUCUGAUACCAUGUUAAGUUUUAAUGUGUAUGAAAUAUAAUCCAAGUAUGGUUUAAUGAUUAAUCCAGAGUAAAGCAAAAUAGUGUUGAUGCAGCGGAUAAUAUUGAUUGUUUAAUUUAUCUAAUGAGUAUGAUCAAGAUGUGUUGCAGGUAGAUAAUGUUUGACAGGGAUGAUAUAUAUAUGAUUUGUCCAAGUAGAAGCGGAGAUAUGUGUAUGCAAUAGAUAUCAGGUAUGAUAUAUAUAUGAAAUGUAAGCAGAUGAUUUAGCAAUACUGAGAUCGUUUGGAGAGCGAGGAGAUGACGAUGUAGGAGAGUCGAUGAUUGAGUGUAGAGCAGAUCGGAGUGAAGUUGAUGAUGACUUUGAUCCACAGAUGAUGAUUCCCAAAGGGAGUAUGAUUUUGAAACUUAGUAUCACAAACUGUAAAACAAUGUUAGGUUUGAGUUUGAUCUAUAUAGAUGGUUUAAAUGUUUGAUUCCAGCUUACAACGGUCAUAAGCUCAAGGUUCAACUGGCGCUUGUUGUCCUGUUGCUGAAGGCAAAGGUGACAUCAAGUGAUGGUUGGACCUUCCUAAGAUUUCUAUCAUAUUAAAGGUUUAGGUAUUAAAUUGAUCAUGUAAGGGUUUAGAUUGUAAAUUGGUUAAUGAGGGUUCAUAUUGUAAAUGUUGUAAUUAUGGAUUUAUGUAAUAAUUUUAUAGAAACCCAGUUAUCAAAAAUAUGUCAAAACAUAUUGAGAGUGACAUCCAUUACAUUAGAGAAUUAAUUACAAAUAGUUUAAUAGUAGGAAAAUCUCCAUCCCUGUUCCGGACUGAAAUCCCCGUCCAUUUCCCUGCCCCGGAUAAUAUUCGUACCGUGGUAAAUUAUAUUUAUACCUUAUAUAAUAUCUUAUAUAGUAUAAUUUAUAUAAAUAACCCUAUAUAAUAUAUUAAAUGCAUAGGUUUAUAUUCAAAAUGUAUCCAUAAAAAAUUUAUAUUUAACCCUAAAUCCCUAAAAAUUUAAUUUUUAACUAUUUGGAUGAAUUGUGAUUUAGAGAUAAUAAAUAUAAAUUUAGAAACUUCUUUUUUAAUUAAUGAAUCCUCGAUUAAUUUUUCACGAUAUUUUUCUUUAAAUUUUUUUUCAUAUCGAUUUUUAAUUAUAUACUAACACCACAAUUUUAGAUUUAAUUUUUAGAAUUAUUCUUUUUUUAUUCUUUAGCUGGUUAGUUGCAAUUUUCAGUUUGAAAAUAACCAUUUUAGAAUAGAAAUGAGCAUUUCUCUCUCUCUCACCCAUUUUUUUCUUUCAAAACAACUAUAUAAUCAUCGAUAGAUAUCAAUCAAUCUAUUGAAAGGAGAAAGAAGACGUGAGAUCUCGAUAGUUCUUUCGAAUUUUGAUUUUUCUUAGGUCAAGAAUGGUUCACGUAACCGAGAUGGAGGAAAACAAUUUAAGUGAGGUUGAUUGCUUUUCUUCUCAAAAUAAUUCGACCCAAGCAACCAAUUUUUUUCCACAGGUUUAUUUAUCAUUGUUUUAGAUUCUAAACAUUACAUUUGUUCUAUUUCCUUCUUAUUCUUUUUUCUUUUGUAUAUGACAAUUCUCUCAUUUCAUUUUAUAUUUUUAUUUAUCAGGGAUCAUCAACUCCAUUGUCUCAAAAUAAUUCGACCCAAAUAAUGAAUUCUUCUGGGCAGGUUUAUUUAUCAUUGUUUUAGAUUCUAAACAUUACAUUUAUUCUAUUUCCUUCUUAUUCUUUUUUUCUUUUGUAUAUGACAAUUCUCUCAUUUGAUUUUAUAUUUGUAUUUAUCAGAGAUCAUUAAGACCCCAAAAUAUACCUAGUAUUGAGCGUAACCGAAAUUCCCAUAGCCAUAGGCGUCGUUCCACACAAAAUCAUCAAUCUCGAAGACGUCAGCAAGUUGAUUGGGUUUCUUCAUUAAAGCAGUCGAUUGUUAUUCCUCCUUACCCUAUAAACCAAGCUAUUUAUCCUCCAUUUAAUGUUGUUCCUGCUCCCCUUCCGAUGGAAAUGAAUCAAUAUCCUUACCCAACAAAUUUUACUACUAGACAACCAUUCGUGAUGAAUUCUUGGCACGAUUGCAGAUAUCUACCAUUUCCUCGUCAUCAACCUUUUGGGUUUAAUCCUCUCAGUAACUUUUACAGACCACAAGAGCAUAACUCUAGUUGGACGUCAAUAAAUCCACAGAUACCUGGUAGACAUUUCAAUCAGGCACACCAACCUUAUCCAUUUUAUCCCUCAUGUAAUCCAUUCCAAAUGCGAAUUAUGAAUCAAAGACCUUAUUUUAUGAAUAUGCAAGCACCGGCAUUUAUACCAACUCAUGGAGUGUAUGGAAAUGAUUACAACCAGGGUACCACCCACUUCUUCUGAUUAUUUCUACCAAUUGCUAAUUUUAUCAUUCAUCAUUCAUAUAUAUUUAGGUAAUGCAGUUCAUUAUUCUGCACCAUUUGAAUCGUCGAAUCUUAAUGAUCUUCAAGAGUUGAAGACGAGUAUACGUGUUCAAAUUGAAUAUUACUUUGGGUAUAUAUCAUUUCAUAUAUGAGAUUUUUUUUUUUAAGUAUAUAUGUUUUUGUAACGUUUUCAUUGUAUUUUUAUAGAGAUACCAACUAUCCAACUGAUGAUCAUCUACACAAAAAAAUGGAUAAAGAAGGGUGGGUGGACAUAUCUGAAAUCGCACAAUUUAGAAUGGUGUGUUCAAAAUAUUUAUCGUUCUAGGAAGUUACAUAUUCUCAAUAUUUCCAACUAACAACUAUAUAUGCUUCAAUUGUGAUGUUACAGAUAAGAAGAAAAAAUGUUGAUUUAUCCCUUAUUUUAGAAUCUUUGAAAUCGUCAAAAAUGAUCGAAAUAAAGGUAAUUAUAAUACAUGUAAAAAUUAAAUUUCACUAUGACUAAUUAAGUGCUUGAUACAAUUUUAUUUAUCGAUCAUAAAGAGUAUAAUUUUUUAAAUGGUGUUGUAUAUUUAACAUUUAUGUUGUUUUUUGUUUAUAGGGAAAUAAGAUAAGAAAAAUCAUUCAUGAAAAAAUGCUUCCAUUACCUGAAACGACGACCGAUACAAGUCAAUGAUAAAGAGCUUAUCGGCCUCAAGAAGUUUUAACUUUAUUUUUAAUUUGAACCUUAUUAUCUGAUUUUUACAACAUUUAGUUAGCCAUUAAUAAUUGGUUAAGUGACAUUUCCACAGUUUGAUUUUUGGCUACAUUUCGUUAGCCAUUUUUUGUUUGAUUGUCAUUUCGUCAUUUUUAUGUUCGACCAGAUUUCGUUAACCAUUUUUUAGUUGUGUGUCUUUUUGCUGUUUGAUUUUUGGCUAUAUUUUGCUAGCCAUGUUUGAGUGAGCCUCAUUUUGGCUGUUUGUACUUUAUAGACUUCAUUUUAACAUUCUAAAUUGAAGAAUUGAAUUUUUUUUGUUAAUUAAUUUGAGGUUAUCAACUUUGAUACUUUUCUUUUAUCCAUGUAUUUUGGUUAAUAGCAAGAACCUAGUGAAGCUCAAAUAAAAAUUGCAAACGAUCAAGUGAAUGGAAAUAACAAAAUAAAUAAAUGUCAAAUACCACAAGAAAUACCAUAAGAACUGCAAAGCAAGGCAUAUUUGAAGGUGUUUCGAUCUGCAUCUUUCCUGUGACGGAAAGGAUAUACAAUGUGAGAAUUGAUUGAAACGCAACUUGUGUUGAAAUAUACUUACAGAUUCAAACGCAACUUGUGUUGAAUCCAUUACAACGGAAGUACAGAUAGACGAUAUCUAUUUGUUUGUUCUUUUGUAUUAUCGAUAUUUAUUGUCUAUUUUUUAUAAUGUUCUUGUCUAUUUUUAUAUUUACAGUCUAUGGUUUUUAGUCCUUGAUACUUGAUAGAUAUUUGAUAUCUAUUAUAUAUUUUAUCUAUUUUUGUGGUUUCUUUGUCGUUUUCUUUAUUGAUUUUUAUUCAUUCUUGUUCUAUUAAUAGGUUACCAAAUUCUUGUUCUAUUUGAAGAAGAGAGUUUCCCAUCUCUUACUCGGGUACCUUCUCCAAGUUAUAAGGAACCAGAUGGUGGCCAUUGAAUUGUUAGUCUACCUUCCUCCAUUGGAAUCUGAGGCAUAGAUGGACCGAAAGGGGAAUCAUCUAGCUUUAGAAGGGGGAGGAGAGCACGACUUGUGCUAGAAUUCUUCAAGAAAUUUGACAAAUUUACGCUUCUCAACCUUACUCAUGGCUCUCGCGUCUUGAUGUUUCAAGAGUUGCUCGUGGAGGGUACGUAAGGCUAUCCCCAACUGAAUCUUUGACUGGGGGAGAGAUGAUUCCGUCAGGGAAUUAAUGUAAAAAUUCGAAAAACAAACAGAUAACAUUAUUAUUAGAGGAAACGUUUCAAAUAAAAUAUUUAAAAUGAUAUAUUUUGUGAAAUAUUAAUUUAGAACGUUUAUUUAUUUUAAAUUAAAUGAAACACAUCUUAAGGUAGAUCAUAUCUCGAGGUUGUAUAUCUCAAUUUACUCCAAAUAAAUAUGUUAGAUUAAUAUCUCAU
rnacentral:lncRNA from 1 species